rnacentral:rRNA from 1 species
GACGAACGCUGGCGGCGUGCUUAACACAUGCAAGUCGAACGGAAAGGCCCUGCUUUUGUGGGGUGCUCGAGUGGCGAACGGGUGAGUAACACGUGAGUAACCUGCCCUUGACUUUGGGAUAACUUCAGGAAACUGGGGCUAAUACCGGAUAGGAGCUCCUGCUGCAUGGUGGGGGUUGGAAAGUUUCGGCGGUUGGGGAUGGACUCGCGGCUUAUCAGCUUGUUGGUGGGGUAGUGGCUUACCAAGGCUUUGACGGGUAGCCGGCCUGAGAGGGUGACCGGCCACAUUGGGACUGAGAUACGGCCCAGACUCCUACGGGGGGCAGAAGUGGGGAAUAUUGCACAAUGGGCGGAAGCCUGAUGCAGCAACGCCGCGUGCGGGAUGACGGCCUUCGGGUUGUAAACCGCUUUCGCCUGUGACGAAGCGUGAGUGACGGUAGUGGGUAAAGAAGCACCGGCUAACUACGUG